rnacentral:lncRNA from 1 species
CCUCAUCAGCAGAAGACUUACCACAAUUUCCCCCCACCAAUAAUGGCUGAAUCCUUCGCAUUUAACAUUGCUGAAAAUGUCCUCUCAAAACUAGCCAAUAUUGCAUAUCAAGAAAUUCGCCUUGCCAGGGUGGUCCAGAGUGACCUUGAAAAGCUUAAGACGACUUUAACUACCAUCAAAGCUGUGCUUUUUGAUGCUGAAGAAAAACAGGCUCAUGACAGUCAGCUGCGGGUUUGGCUUCAAGAGCUUAGGGAUGCCAGUUAUGAUGCAGAAGAUGUGUUGGAUGAAUUUGAAAUCGAAGCACUGCGGAAGCAAGUUGUGAAACAGAAGAGCAUCGGAAAGCAGGUAAGCCAUUUCUUUUCAAGCUCAAACCCACUUGCUUUUCGGUUUAGGAUGGCACAUAAGGUUAAAAAAGUUACUGAGAGAUUCGUUGAGAUUGCUGCUUUGAAAAAUAAUUUUCAUCUCAUCGAGAGACAUGAUGGCCCUGGGCAUGUCGUGCGCUUGGACAGGGAGACCCACUCCUUUGUGCAGGCAUCGGAGGUCAUUGGCAGAGAUGAAGAGAAAGAGAGAAUCAUAAAAAUGUUAAUGCAAGAUCCAGCUGAUGCGGAAGACAUUUCCGUCCUUCCCAUAGUUGGAAUCGGAGGUCUGGGGAAGACCGCCCUUGCGAAAUUGGUAUUCAAUGAUGGAAGGAUAGAUAGGCAUUUUGGGUUGAAAAUGUGGGUGUGUGUUUCAGAUGACUUUGAUCUGAAACGAUUAGUUCUGAAAAUCAUGAAAGCUGGAAAGGAGGGUGAUGGAGACCUUGGUAACAUGGAUUUGGAGCAAUUACAGAAGGUGUUACGAGAUUGUUUGAAGGGUAAUAAAUAUUUACUCAUCUUAGAUGAUGUGUGGAGUGAGGAUAAUAGAAAAUGGCAAGAACUGAAACAAUUGUUAGUGGGAGGAGCUAGUGGAAGCAAAAUUGUGGUCACCACUCGCAGUAACCAAGUUACAAAGAUUGUCGGCACAAUCCCUCCACAAAAUUUAGAAGGUCUUCCUUACGAUCAAUCUUUAUCUUUGUUUCUCAAAUUUGCAUUCAAGAGAGGAGAAGAGAAACAACAUCCCAAUCUUGUAAAAAUUGGGGAAGAUAUUGUUAAAAAAUGCAAAGGGGUUCCUUUGGUUGUGAAGACAAUGGGGAGUUUACUUUUCUCCAAAAUUUCAGAACAUGAGUGGAGACUUGUGAAAGAUAGUGAAAUGUGGCAAUUAAUGGAAAAAGAAAAUGAAAUAUUUUCUGUUUUAAAACUAAGUUAUGAUCAACUGCCUCCUCAUUUAAAGCAAUGUUUUGCUUAUUAUUCAGUCUAUCCAAAGGAUUAUGCUUUUGUUGAAUUUGAGUUAAUCCAAUUUUGGAUGGCUCAUGGUCUUCUUCAAUCCUCUAAAAAAAAUGAAGAUCCGGAGGAUAUUGGGCGGCAGUAUUUGAACCACCUAUCAUCAAGGUGUUUUUUCCAAGAUUAUCAGGAUAAAGGUUUUCUUAUUGAAUUUAAAAUGCAUGAUCUUUUGCAUGAUCUUGCAUUAUCAGUAGCAAAGAAUGAGUGUUCUACACUAAAUUCUUUCGAGCAAAAUAUUCCUCAAGGAGUUAAACAUGUGUACCUUGAUAACUGUGAUUCUCUCGAGGAAAAAGCCUUUGAAUUACUUAAUAAAGCAGGACAUGUGCGCACAUUUAUGCUUCCAGACGUGGAUACAGGUCCAGGCAACAAAUCUUUUAUGGAAACAUGCCUCAAGAGGUUCCAACAUUUGCGGGUGCUUAAACUAUCCAGAUCUAAUCUCGAGAUAUUGCCCAAAGGGAUUGGCAAUUUGAAGCACUUAAGGUUUCUCUAUCUAUGCGAUAAUCCCAACAUCAAGAAGCUUCCGAACUCCAUUUGUAAGUUGCAAAAUUUGCAGACUUUGUUGUUUGCCGGUUGUUACAAAAUUGAAGAGUUACCUAGAGAAAUGAGAUACUUAAUCAAUCUCAGAUUUUUAUCAUUAACUACAAAACAAAGGGAUUUACGUGGAUUAGAACAUUUGAAAUCUCUUCGAACCUUAUGUAUUAUAAACUGUAAAAAUCUGGAAUAUUUGUUCGAAGGGAUUCAAAACCUCACAUCCCUUCAAACAUUAUGUAUCUCUGGGUGCAGAAAUUUGACAUCACUGCCACAUGGUUUGAAAUAUCUAACAGCAUUACAAACUCUAUCAAUUAGGGUUUGUGUAAAGCUUGAUUUGAAUAUGACAAUGGGAUUCGAAGGGAAAGAAGAGGAUAAUCAAGACUACCUCGUUGAUAGUGGUUUGUGUCUUCAAAGAUUAGGGAUUACUGGACCGUUACCAAAUCUGGAGGCUCUACCCCAAUGGCUUCUACAAGGAUCUGCCAACACUUUAAAGCAGUUGGACAUUGAACGAUGUGAGAACCUCACAACCACACCAGAGUGGAAAACUCUUACAUCACUUGAAAGGCUUUGGAUUUUCAAGUGCCCAAAGUUAUCAACUCUACCAGAAAAGAUGCAGCGCCUCAAAAGAUUGUCGAUUAUAGAGUGUCCUAUCUUGAGUGAAAGAUGCAAACCGGAAACGGGAGAGGAUUGGCCAAGCAUUGCUCAUGUCUCCCGUAUAUGUCUGGACGGUGCUGAAAUUUCAUCUAAAGAAUUAUCAACCCCAUGAUUCUGUAAGAGUUAAUAUUUUUCUCGCUUCUUCUUUUCUUCUCUUUUUAUUUUUUUUAAUUUGCUUUCCAUAUUUCAUAUUUUUCAUUUGAAAUGUAAAAAAAAUAACAUAUAAAAUGGAGUAAAUAAUGCAUACUUCUAACACAUUUUUAAUAUUUUUUAUUUUUUGUUUUUUUCGUAAAGCAUGCCAAAUAGAUGAUAAAAGUGUUUUUAAACUUUUAGAACUUCUAAAUUUGAUACCACUAUUGUUAGCCUAGAAUGGCAUUUAAGAUUCAUAACUAGUUAAUAUGAUCAGCUAACUACUUAUAUGUUACUUCAUGCCUUGUUAGUAAUAUCACUAUUAUUUCACAAUGAACUAGAAACAAAAUCAAGCAUAUAUAUGAACAUUUGGAUAAAUGAUAAAUAAAUAAAUACAUAAAUAUAUAAAUAUAUAUUUAUUUACAUACAAAAUUACGUCUUUUACUUGAAAAUGUUGGCCAAUUUAGCAUUGUUUGGAAAAUGUCCUAAUUUGGCUUGUGAAUGAGUGGCAGGGCAUACCUCCAUUUUAUUGGUAUUCGGACUGGAAUCCCCCCUUGGUGACUGGACUGCAGUACGGUUGAUGUAAUCCCUCAAAUAGAGUGGAGGGGUGUGCUUGGCUUCCCAUUUCUCCUAAUUGUUGGCUUUGUAUAUUUUAUCUAUCUACUUGUAUUAUGAACAUAUUUGAUGUUUGUUUGUGUACUUAAAUUCCUUUGCUUUGAUUGUUCAUGUAAUCGCUACUCUUUAUUUGUUGGUUUGUUGAAUUGCCUUUGGAUUCAAAAUUUGGUUUGGUUUGGUUGGGUGAUCUAUGUUUGUGUUUAGUUUUUCUCCAAAAUAACUUCAUUCCCUAAUUAGAUUGUGUUGGAAUCUCUUUCCUUCCGAACUAAAUAAAAACCUUUAAUUUGUUCUUUUUCAUUCCCUAAUUCAAUCAAUCACCGUCAAAGUAAAUUUAUUCCAUUGAAAUUAACUUUUGCUUGCAACUGUAGGAUCUCAAAUCAGGAUUUAGUAUGGCAUAUAUAAACUGGUAGUAGUCAUUCUUAUUUCAUGGAUUUUUUUGGAAAAAAAAAAAGAAAUUUGAAUGAAUAAAAUACUAAUGCAUAUGAUAAAUUAUAUUUUAAUGCCUAUUUUUUUAUCAAAAUGAUAGAGGAUUUAUGCGUAAAUAUUUACAUGCAUACACUAAAAGCAAGAUAUACAAAUACCAAGUUUUUUUGAGUGAUUAUCAAUUAGAAUCUUCAGAUUAAUUUCAUAUAUAUCAAUAAUAAAAUUUUUAAACUUCAUAAAUAAAUUUAUAAUAUUAUUAUAUGUCUAUUUAAUAACAACAACCUUAUAAAUAUAUCAUCGAGGAAAGUCUUUAAUUUCACAAGUCUGUUUGUAGUUUAAGUGCCUCAUUUUUGUUGAAAUAUUUUUUGAAAAGUUUUUUACACUGUUUCAAUUUGUAUUUACAAAGAAUUCUUGAUAUUCUUUGCUUUUAUCUCUCUUUUUAUUAAGGCAUAAUAUUCAAAAAAGUCUUUAAAUUAUUUAGAAAAAUUUAAAUAAGUCCUUAAAAAACCCACCAACUCCCUAUAUUCAUGAAUUUUAUUCAAUUUAGUCUAUAUACUCAAAAUCAAAAUAAUUUAAUUUCUUGAUUUUAAAAAUUACUUCAAUUUAGUCAUUCUCUCUAACGACAUUUAAUUUUAUCGUUAAAAUGGGUGACGUCAAUGCUGACAUCAGCACUAACAUGGCAUAUUUUAAUAAUGUGGUAUGCCAGGUGGCAUUAACUUAAUGAUGUGGUAGUGCCACGAGGUAGAUCAAAAAUUUUUUUAAAAAAUUUUUGUGCCACGUCAUAAGAAUUAAAUUGAACAAAAAUAUAUAGUAGACAGAUUAAAUUGAACAAAAUUGAGAUGCAAAAAGACUAAAUUGAAAAAUAUAAAUCUUUAAGUAAAUUAUAGAUAUACUUAUUAAUAAGCCAAAUGUUUAAGUAUAAAAGAAUUAUGAUGUUAAAAAUAUAUAUAUUUUUUCUUACUUGAUUAUUUGAUUUUAUAAUAUAUACAUUACUUUUUUUUUGCAAAAAUUAAGUAUGAAUUCUUCUUCUAUAAACAAAUUCCGAAAAAAAUGUAAAGCUUAAAGUCAAAUUUAGAUGAAUAACUUGUAUUAUGUUAGAAUAAAAUAAUAUAAAAGAACUAAAUAAAUUCUUUUUUUUCUAUUUAUAAUAGUAUAAAAAUUUAAAAUUUAUUUGAUUUAAUUUUUAAUUUGAGAUGAAUUCAAAUUAGCAAAAUAGGUUGAUUUAGUUACAACUUUCACAAUUUACAAAUACCUAUUUUUUUUGGAAUUAUUCAACCCUUACCCAAUUUACCUUUUACUCAAAUUUACUCAAAUUUUCUUAUAAAAUAAUUUUAUUUAAGUUCAAAUACCACAAUUAAAUUUUGCUGAAUUUAAAUUUAAAUUAUUAAUUUGGAUAUACAAAAAAUUUGGAAAUACAAAAUAAAAUUGUACAAAUAUUUACAAUUAUACUUAAUUCCAUCAACUAAAUGCAAUCUUUAAUCCAGAAACAUAAAAAAAUAUAAACUGAAAUAUUUCACAAAAUAAAAAUAUAAAAAAUUGAAGGAGUGGAGUAACUCAUAUUUUAUAGUUGUAAUAAGAGGUUUGUCAUACCCAAAUUAAGCAAGUCAGAACAAAUAAUUAUUUUUAUAAUCAUCGUUAACUCCACAUCUCCAUUUUUCAUUUUUUUAAAAGAAAAAAUUAAAUCAACUUAUUUUACUAAUUAUUUAAUCUUUUUAUAUUAUUUUAUUCCAACAUAAUGCAAAUUAUUUAUCUAAAUUUGACUUUAGGUAUGAAAUUUUUUUUCUUUUUUUUUAUAGAAUGAGAAUUCAAACUUAAUUUUUGCAAAGAAGAUAAAUUAAUGUCUAUAUUCUAUAAUCAAAUAAUCAAGUAAGAAAUAUAUAUAUAUAUAUAUAUAUAUAUAUAUAUAUUAACAUCAUAAAUCUUUUACAUUUAAAUAUUUGGCUUAUUAAUAAGUAUAUCUAUCAUCUACUUAAAGAUUUGUAAUUUUGAAAUUUUUUUUAAUUUAAACCCUCAACAUCUCAAUUUUGUUCAAUUUAAUCCUAGUAUUAUACAUUUUUAUUUAAUUUAAUCCUUAUGAUGUGGCACAAAAAAAUUUUUGAAAAUUUUUUAAUUUGUCAUGUGGCACUGACACAUCAGCAUGUCAAUGCCACAUCAACAUUGCCAUGCCAUCAUAUUAGUGCCAUGUGGCAUUGCCACAUAAUCAAGUUGGUAUCAUGUGGCAUGCCACAUCAUCAAAAUAUACCACGUCAGUAUUGAUGUUAUUCCUUUUAAAGACAAAAUUGGAUGUUGUUAGGAUGAGGAACUAAAUUAAAGCAAGUUUCAAAAUCAAGAGAUUAAAUUACUUCGAUUUUAAGUAUAGGGAUUAAAUUAAAUAAAAUGCAUGAGUACAAGGACUUGGUGGGCAUUUUGACCAUACUUUUAUUACGUUUAAUCAAGUCCUUAUAUUUUUAUUAUGAACCAAAUAAACCCUUAUAUUUUUAUUUUAAGUCAAAUAAAUUCUUAUGACUAAUUAUUAAUGACUUAAUCAAAAUGUCAUUUGUUAUUUUAUACCAUAUGACACCGACAUGACAUGCUAACAUGUUAUAAUUGAUGAUGAUAUGGCAUGUUGACAUAUCAUAAUUGAUAAUGACGUGAUAUGCUAAUUAAAUAUUAUAAUAUGAUUAUAUAACAUUUUUCACUCUUCACAUUAACAGCAUAUUAAUAGCAUAUGGAUAUAAAAUGAUGAGUGGCAUUUUAACAAAUAACAAUUAGCCAAUCAUUAAUCAUAAAGGUUUAUGUGAUUCAAAAUAAAAGUAUAAUCACUUAAUUGAACACAAUAAAAGAAUAAUGAUUUAUUUAUAUAUUUUUUAAUAACUUAAGAGUUUAUUUGAACAUUAUGUCUUUUGUUAAUGAAAACUUAUAGAAUAUUUAAAAGUUUUUUUAAACAAGUCACCAUCAAUGUACAUGACAACUUUUUCUAUCUAAUUAAAUUUGACCAAGUAAAUAGGUGCCAAAUUCCAAUUUACUUUAACAUGGUGAUGGUCGGCUGUGACUAAUUACAGCAUGAAAGCAGAGCCGUGUAUAAGUAUUCCCUCCCACUGGUCAAGCUCUAGCAACCUAGAAGGUUUUAACAUAUUUGAACGAACAGGGCUCCAUGAAAAAGGGGAAAAAUAGAGAAUAAUGAAGGUUAUAAAGGUACUACCGUACAAACUUUUUGAAAAAGUAUGAAACAAACAAAGGGGUAUUUUAAAAAAUGAUCUUUAAAGAUAAGAUAUUUUUAAAAAUAGUACUAUUUAUAAGUUUAAUUAUUUUUAGUUAAGUUAGAUAAAAUUACUCUUAAUGAAGUUGCACGCUAUGAUGUUACACGCUAUGUACAAAAAUAUGUGACACGUCAUGUACAAAAACUUAUGACAAGUUAUGGUUAAUUUGUUACACAUUAUGUAUAAAAACCUGUGACAAGCCGUGGUUAGCGUGUUACACGCUAUGUACAAAAAUAUAUGACACGUUACGUACAAAAACUUGUAACAAGCCGUGAUUAGCGUGUUACACGUUAUGUACAAAAAAUAUGUGACAAGCCAAGUACAAAAUCUCGUGACAAAUUAUGGUUAGCUUGUUAUAUGCCAUGUACAAAAACUCGUGACAAGUUAAGGUUAGGUUGUUACACGUCAUGUUGAAAAAAAAUACUGUUAUUACACGCCAUAUAAAAAAACAUGUACAUUGCCAUGGUUAAAAAAGGUUAUUACACGUCAUGUUGAAAAAAAAAUAUUGUUGUUACACGUCAUGUUAAAAAAAUAUUAUUGUUACACGACAUAUUCAAAAACAUUUUGUUAUACUUUAAUGUUUAAAAUGUUGUUGUUGUUACUUACGAACGAAAACUUUAAAUCCUCUCAACUUUUUUUUUUGUUUUUCUGACAAUUUGGCACAAAUUAAAGUGUUUCUAACAUGUUUUUAUAAAUCAAAAUACAAAUGUUUUUUUAUCUAAAAUACUUACUUUGACUAAAAAAAAAAUCUUUGAAAACCUAGAUUUAUAAAUUUCAAAAUUUUGAGUUUAUUGGUAUCUAGAUCCCGAAUUGAUUCAAUUAAAAACUAUUUUAUACAUUUGUAAUUAUUUUUACAGUUUUAUUUUUAUCCAAAAUACUUAAAAAUCGAAUUUCUCAAACAGUCACCUACUACCCAAGCACGUCAAAACCAUUGCUUGGUGUCUUGAAAGCAUAAGAAAGAGAAAUCUAAAAACACGGGAGAGAGAAAUCGGAAGCAUAACAGAUGAAUGUCGAAUAGAAAAAUCGAUAAAAUUUGAGAGACUGUGAUGGUGAGAGAAAAAUCCGAAGCACAGAUGAGAAGUAAUAGGGAGAAAUUGUAAUGAAUGGUUUAAUUUAUUUGAAAUAGUUUAAAGGGUAUUUUCGUCAAUUCAUGACUAAAUAUGAGUAAAAACAGUUAAACUUAUUUUGAUGGUUACUUUUAAAAUGUCUUUAUAAAGAAAGGUCAUCUCCCACAAUUUUCUCAACAAAAAUUAUUAUAUAUGUAUAUAAUUAGUGGUAAUAAAAUAUCAAGCUAUAUUGAAAAUUUUGGCAUAAUAAUGUGCCCCAUUGAUUCCAAAUAUCCAGCAUCCAGUGGAAAAGCUCGUCACGAACACAUUCAUUGGCAGGACAAAAUCCACCAAACUAUCACCUUGUUUCCGAAGAAUUUUUAUCAAGAAAGCAGUGAGCUUCAAGGGUGCAGCGACAGUGAUUGGACUAGUUCCAUUGAUGAUUCCAAAAGCACUUGCAGAUUCUGUUUCUCUUUUGAAAGUGUAGUCUUCACCUGGAAUUCAAAGAAACAGGAAUUAGUAGCUCAAUUAUUAGUUGAGGUUGAGCAUAUUACUGCUGCUUUAGCUGCUAACCAUGCUCAAUGGUUAAGAAAGAUUUUAUCCAAUGUGGGAUUCAAUCAAGACAAAUGAACCAUAUUGAAGGUUGAUAAUCAAUCUGCUAUAAUCAUAGCAAAAAGUCUUAUUCAGUAUGAUCAAAUUAAACACAUUCGAGUUAAAUUUCAUAUUUUGCGAGAUAUAUUGAAAGAAUAGGAAAUUCGAUUGGAAUAUUGUCACAUAGACCUCCAGUUGGCAAAUAUUCUCACUAAAAGUCUGAGCAAAGACAGAUUCGAAUUUUUAAGGAAUGAAUUGGGUGUUUACCAGACAGGGAUCAAGGAGGGGUGUUGAGAACUUUGAUCCCAAUCUGGUUCAGUUUAGAAGGGAAGGGAGUUUGGCGGGAAUGAACAGAUUCAAGACAGGAAGGAGACUUAAACGAUGCCGUUUUAACUUCACUAAUUGGGCUGUUUUAAGCUGCAAGCAAAACGCUGAGGGAUGGCACCGUUUAGACAAAAUAAAUCCUUUUUUUAAACGCAAGUCCUUAUGUCGUUUAGUUUAUAAGCUUGUUAAUUGGCUGUUAAAGCCACGUGUUCUUUCUUCUUUCUAUAGUUUUUUGUUGGUUUGUUACUUUCUCGAUGGCGGUGUUGCUGAGCAUCAAAUUCUGUGACGAAUUUGUUGCUUUUUUCUAUGUUUUCUGAAUCCAAAAGAAUUUGUACAGAUGGCAAUAUUUUCUACUUAGUAUUUAACUAAGAAAUGAAAAGAGAAAAGUGUGUGAAGCAUUUUCUUUAUUUUGUUUCAUUUUCAAGUUUUUCCUUCUUCUCCUUUUGCUUCUCUGCAAAUCUCUUACGUUCAUUACUCUCUGGAAUAUUGAUAAACAUUCAAUAGACAGGGAGACCCACUCCUUUGUACAAGCAUCAGAUAUCAUUGGUAGAGAUUAAGACAAAGAAAAAAUCAUAAAACGUUUGCUGCAAGAUCCAAUUGAUGAGGAAGAUAUAUCUGUCCUUCCUCAAACGAAAAUGAAGAGCCUCAAGACAUUGGUAGGCAUUAUUUGAAUGAGUUAUCAUCAUGAUCUUUUUUUAAGAUUUUUAUAAAGAUUUAUCUGUCCAGUAUUUUAAAAUGGAUGAUUUUUUACUUGAUCUUGUAUUAUCAGCUGUAAACAUUUACAUAUAUUGUCUAGAAUAAUGAUGAUAUUUCCAUUUAAACUUACUAAUUACAUUAUCAGUUUUUUUAUAUUGAUUCAUUUGAACUCCCACUUAUGAUGCAUCCAGAACAAUUAAUCCAUUUUUAUUGAUUGAAGCCCCAUUAAAGUUUUGGCCCAUCAAAUCCAAACACAGCUUGGUAGCACAAAAUUCAUUUCUUUUUUGAUUUAUAUGAUGCAAGUUGUAUAGCAAAUUGUUGUAUUUUAGUAUUUAAUGGAUAUGAGGUUUGCACUUGGAAGCACGACACCCAACUACUCUGCUCUUUUCCAAGUCAACGUCUAAUUUUCCUUGCAUCUUUCUCUUUUCCCAGCUGCUUCUUUCCUUUGUGAUCGACCUGCGUUAUUGCUUGACGAUUGUCGGUAGAAACAGACACCAUUUCGUAGAAAUUCUCUUCCUCUCCAACAGUUUCUUUCUUUCUUUUCCUCCUUGUUUAAUGCCAUCAAUAAACCUCAUCAGCAGAAGACUUAGCACAAUUUCCCCCCACCAAAAAUGGUUGAAUCCUUCGCAUUUAACAUUGCUGAAAAUGUCCUCUCGAAACUAGCCAAUAUUGCAUAUCAAGAAAUUCGCCUUGCUUGGGGUGUCCAGAGUGACCUUGAAAAGCUUAAGACGACUUUAACUACCAUCAAAGCUGUGCUUUUAGAUGCUGAAGAAAAACAGGCUCAUGACAAUCAGCUGCGGGUUUGGCUUCAAGAGCUUAGGGAUGCCUGUU